UGCAUGCGUGACUGUAAGUUGCUUUGGAUAAAAGUGUCUGCUAAAUGGCAUAUA
rfam:Salmo salar isolate Sally breed double haploid chromosome ssa09, whole genome shotgun sequence.